AAAAAAUAGGGAAAAAAAAGAAAGAAAAAAGGUAGAAAUGCAAUCAAUAUCUGCAACUCCGCUGCCCAGUCGCUAUUACCCAAUUCCUAUUCAUCUUCAAUUCCACCAUUCCAAUCUUAGCAAUAGAAAUACCUUCCAAUAUUCUUCCCACAAAACCCAAACUUGCUUACGGAACCUCUCUGCUCUCACUCUCUGUCAAACACACAGUUGUAGAAAACAACAACAACAACAAGCAUUCAAGAACAAGAAAAGCGAUUCCGACCCAUUUCACAACCACACGUUUCUUCUCCAAUUUCGAUUCUCCACUGGCACUAACAACCCCAACAACGGUAACCCAGAAGACCAAAACGGAGGACAAGGACAAAGGGAAUGCGAAACCAAGAUAACUAACAAGGCACUUUUCGCAAACAUGUGGUGGGCGGAAUUGAAAGCGGCUUUGGGGCAGAGAUUCAACUUCGGGGCCAUUGUUUGUGCUGCUGGAGUUUUCACAAAGGAUCGGCACUUGGCUCUCCCUCAUGUUGCCGUGCCAGAUAUAAGGCACAUUGAUUGGGUUGAGCUGCGAAGAAGGGGUUUUCAGGGCGUUGUGUUUGAUAAGGAUAAUACUAUCACCGCACCUUACUCUUUGACGCUUUGGGGUCCACUUGCGUCUUCGCUGGAGGAAUGUAAAUCUGUUUUCGGUCCCAAUGUUGCAGUGUUCAGCAACUCUGCUGGACUUUAUGAGUAUGACCAUGAUGGUUCCAGAGCCAGGACGCUAGAGGGAGCAAUUGGAAUUAAAGUCAUAAGGCAUAGAGUGAAGAAACCGGCUGGAUCUGCUGAAGAAAUUGAGAAGCACUUCGGAUGCGAAUCUUCGCAACUUAUUAUGGUGGGUGAUCGGCCUCUUACUGACAUUGUUUAUGGGAAUCAAAAUGGUUUCUUGACAAUUUUAACUGCGCCUUUGAGUCUUGCAGGGGAGCCAUUCAUUGUUAGGCAGGUGAGGAAACUAGAAGCAGCCCUUGUCAAACGUUGGUCUAGGAGAGGGUUGAAGCCAAGCAGUCAUAGGCUUUUGCUAGAUCCCACGCAGUGUGUGAUAGAUCCACCAAAUACAAAGAUGAGACUUGCCUUUGGAUUUGGAUCAUGUUCAUUGAAACAUGAAGUAACAAGCAACUGAAAUGUGUCUGUGCCUACUGCUUAACUUGCACUCCAGAGUAUGCGAACAGAACGCGGGCAUCUUAGAAAUUUAAGGCUUCUAAAAAGGCACCUGAACCUUCAAUAACGAGAGAAGUAGAAGAAGCAGAAGCUCUUCUAAAAUGGAAGGCUAGCCUUGACAACGAGAACCCAUCUCUCUCAUCUUCAUGGCUUGGAAACAAAGCUUGCAAUUGGGUUGGAAUUGUUUGUGAAAAUUCUAGCAGCAUCAGACAUGUAAAUCUCACAGGCUAUCUUUAACAUAGCCAACCUCUCUAGUCUUGUCCACCUUGAUUUGUCUAAAAUAAACUUUCCGGACAAAUCCCACGUCAGGUAUUUUCUCUUACUGGUCUUCAAUUCCUCUAUUUGGGUAGAAAUUACUUGAAUGGAUCCAUUCCCAAUGAAUUGGGAAUGUUAAGCAA